rnacentral:rRNA from 1 species
GACAGAGGAUGCAAGCGUUAUCCGGAAUGAUUGGGCGUAAAGCGUCUGUAGGUGGCUUUUUAAGUCCGCCGUCAAAUCCCAGGGCUCAACCCUGGACAGGCGGUGGAAACUACCAAGCUGGAGUACGGUAGGGGCAGAGGGAAUUUCCGGUGGAGCGGUGAAAUGACGUAGAGAUCGGAAAGACCACCGAUGGCGAAGGCACUCUACUGGGCCAUGACUGACACUGAGAGACGAAAGCUAGGGGAGCAAAUGGG